CACGUAGGGGGCAAGCGUUGUCCGGAUUUAUUGGGCGUAAAGAGCGCGCAGGCGGCCCGGCAAGUCGGGUGUGAAAUCCCGGGGCUCAACCCCGGGACUGCAUUCGAUACUGCCGGGCUAGAGGUAGGUAGGGGAGAUCGGAAUUCCUGGUGUAGCGGUGAAAUGCGCAGAUAUCAGGAAGAACACCCGUGGCGAAGGCAGGUCUCUGGGCCGAUACUGACGCUGAGGAGCGAAAGCGUGGGGAGCGAACAGG
rnacentral:rRNA from 1 species